rnacentral:rRNA from 1 species
UACGUAGGGGGCGAGCGUUGUCCGGAUUCAUUGGGCGUAAAGCGCGCGUAGGCGGCAUCGCAAGUCGGCCGUGAAAUCUCCAGGCUCAACUUGGAGGGGUCGGGCGAGACUGCGACGCUCGAGGUGGGCAGAGGGCAGUGGAAUUCCGGGUGUAGUGGUGGAAUGCGUAGAGAUCCGGAGGAACACCAGUGGCGAAGGCGGCUGCCUGGGCCUGGCCUGACGCUGAGGCGCGAAAGCGUGGGGAGCAAUCCGG